UUGGCUGCUUUGUGCUUUGAAUGCAGAGCUCAAAAAGACAACGUGCUCCAACCCAAAGGAGAUGUGACUGUUAGUGAGGGAGAGACAGUAACACUGGACUGUCACUAUAACACCAGUGGCACAAAUACAUAUCUUUUCUGGUACAGACAGGCUGCAGACGACAAGCCCACAUUCAUUCUGAGCCGCAUUACUGCUGAAUCAGGGAACACAGCGGACGGGUUCAAGGAGAGAUUUGAUUCCAGCCUGGAUUCCAGCUCAAGAUCAGUUCCUCUGAAGAUCCAGAGUCUGCAGCUGUCUGACUCUGCUGUGUACUACUGUGCUCUGAGGCCCACAGUGACAGGAAACUGCAAGACGUACUACAAAAACCUUUGGAGGGUCUAUCAAGAAUCCAGAGAGGCUCUCUGA